GAGGACGACGCUGGCGGCGUGGAUUAGGCAUGCAAGUCGAACGGUAUCAUCCUUUCGGGGGUGAGAGAGUGGCGAACUGGUGAGUAACACGUAGGUUAUCUGCCCUCAAGACGGGGGACAACCCAGGGAAACUUGGGCUAAUACCGGAUGUGAGCAACUUUUAGUUGUUUGAAAGGUGGCGUAAGCUGUCGCUUGGGGAUGAGCCUGCGUCCUAUUAGUUAGUUGGUGAGGUAACGGCUCACCUAGGCAAUGAUAGGUAGGCGGCCUUAACGGGUGGCCGCCCACACUGGGAUUGAGAUACGGCCCAGACUCCUACGGGAGGCAGCAGUCGAGAAUAGUCUACAAUGGUCGGAAGACUGAUAGUGCGACGCCGCGUGAACGAUGAAUCCCUUCGGGGUGUAAAGUUCUUUUAUAUGUGAGCAGUGCUUCUUAUAUUAACAGUAUGGGGAGAGAGAUAUUAGCAUAUGAAUAAGCAACGGCUAACUCCGUG
rnacentral:rRNA from 1 species